UCCGUUGGGGUAACCUGCGGAGGGAUCAUUACACAAAUAUGAAGGCGGGCUGGAACCUCUCGGGGUUACAGCCUUGCUGAAUUAUUCACCCUUGUCUUUUGCGUACUUCUUGUUUCCUUGGUGGGUUCGCCCACCACUAGGACAAACAUAAACCUUUUGUAAUUGCAAUCAGCGUCAGUAACAAAUUAAUAAUUACAACUUUCAACAACGGAUCUCUUGGUUCUGGCAUCGAUGAAGAACGCAGCGAAAUGCGAUAAGUAGUGUGAAUUGCAGAAUUCAGUGAAUCAUCGAAUCUUUGAACGCACAUUGCGCCCUUUGGUAUUCCAAAGGGCAUGCCUGUUCGAGCGUCAUUUGUACCCUCAAGCUUUGCUUGGUGUUGGGCGUCUUGUCUCUAGCUUUGCUGGAGACUCGCCUUAAAGUAAUUGGCAGCCGGCCUACUGGUUUCGGAGCGCAGCACAAGUCGCACUCUCUAUCAGCAAAGGUCUAGCAUCCAUUAAGCCUUUUUUUCAACUUUGACCUCGAUCAGUAGAUCCCGGUUUC
rnacentral:rRNA from 1 species